UACGGAGGGGGCUAGCGUUGUUCGGAAUUACUGGGCGUAAAGCGCGCGUAGGCGGCUCUUCAAGUCAGGCGUGAAAGCCCCGGGCUUAACUCGGGAACUGCGCUUGAUACUGUCGAGCUAGAGUGUGGAAGGGGCGAUUGGAAUUCCGUGUGUAGCGGUGAAAUGCGUAGAUAUACGGAGGAACACCAGAGGCGAAGGCGGAUCGCUGGGCCAACACUGACGCUGAUGUGCGAAAGCUAGGGGAGCAAACGGG
rnacentral:rRNA from 1 species